CUUAUCAAGAGUGGUGGAGGGACUGGCCCUAUGAAGCCCAGCAACCAAUAGGAAAUUUUUUCUAUAGGUGCUAAUUCCUGCAGUUUUCUGAGAGAUAAGG
rnacentral:ncRNA from 1 species